ensembl:lncRNA
AUGGGGUGCUGCUUUAGUGGGGAAAGUACUACUGACGAGUGGAGUGACAGCAACAGUCUGCCAGACUCCCCGUCCGACGGUGGACGGAGCAAGGUGACGGUGGAGCUCCAGCAUACCACCACCGCAGUAACCCAGCAUACAUGCGUGGGUGAAGACGUUACAGGAGACAGCAGUAGGAAAGAAACAGAAGUUUUUGGGAAUCCUGAUAUCGUCUCGAAUCUUAACACGGUGAAGAUCCCCAAGAAGAAGCCGGGCCGACAAACAAUUAUGGACCCCAAGCCCAGCGUGACGCGUAGUGAUGGGCCCCUCCUUGAAUUGCUUCCCUGCGUUGGGCUAAUCACACUGAGCACAGACGAGGACAACAUUCCAGAUGGAUCAAAGCCGUCCAAGCCGGCCCGGUCAAGUGUCGUUGCGCGACUGUUCGUUGCCGUCAUUGUGAAUGAGGCAUCAGGUGACCAGAAGAAAUCGCAAUGUGACGAUAAGGACGGCAAAGAGGUACGUGUUGGUAAUGGUUCAUUACCAACAACUCCUCCUGAACCAGACACUGGUUCAUUACCAACACCUCCUCCUGAACCAGACACAGGUUCAUUUCCAACACCUCCUCCUGGACCAGACAGAGAUUCAUUUCCAACACCUCCUCCUGAAUCAGACACAUGGUUAUUUCCAACACCUCCUCCUGAAUCAGACACAUGGUUAUUUCCAACACCUCCUGCUGGACCAGACACUGGUUCAUUACCAACACCUCCUCCUGAACCAGACACUGGUUCAUUUCCAACACCUCCUCCUGAAUCAGACACAGAUUCAUUACCAACACCUCCUCCUGAACCAGACACUGGUUCAUUUCCAACACCUCCUCCUGAAUCAGACACAUGGUUAUUUCCAACACCUCCUCCUGAAUCAGACACAUGGUUAUUUCCAACACCUCCUCCUGAAUCAGACACAUGGUUAUUUCCAACACCUCCUCCUGAAUCAGACACAUGGUUAUUUCCAACACCUCCUCCUGAACCAGACACAUGGUUAUUUCCAACACCACCUCCUGAACCAGUCACUGGUUCAUUUCCAACACCUCCUGAACCAGACACAGGUUCAUUUCCAACACCUCCUCCUGAACCAGACACAGGUUCAUUUCCAACACCUCCUCCUGAACCAGACACAGAUUCAUUUCCAACACCUCCUCCUGAAUCAGACGCAGAUUCAUUUCCAACACCUCCUCCUGGACCAGACACAGAUUCAUUUCCAACACCUCCUCCUGAAUCAGACACAGAUUCAUUUCCAACACCUCCUCCUGAACCAGACACUGGUUCAUUACCAACACCUCCUCCUGGACCUAACACAAGUUCACCGGAUAUUGAAGUCAGGGCCUCGACUCAAGAUGUCAAAAAUCUUGUAAAGUUUUUCGAGGAAAAACUUCGCCCUGGAUCCAUCAAGGACAAUGCAGAUCUCAAACGUCCGUGGCUUACAGCUAAUUCCCUUGAAUCAGACGCAGAUUCAUUUCCAACACCUCCUCCUGGACCAGACACAGAUUCAUUUCCAACACCUCCUCCCAAACCAGAUACAUGGUUAUUUCCAACACCUCCUCCUGAAUCAGACACAUGGUUAUUUCCAACACCUCCUCCUGAAUCAGACACUGGUUCAUUUCCAACACCUCCUCCUGAACCAGUCACUGGUUCAUUUCCAACACCUCCUCCUGAACCAGACACUGGUUCAUUUCCAACACCUCCUCCUGAACCAGUCACUGGUUCAUUUCCAACACCUCCUCCUGAACCAGACACUGGUUCAUUUCCAACACCUCCUCCUGAACCAGUCACUGGUUCAUUUCCAACACCUCCUGAACCAGACACAGGUUCAUUUCCAACACCUCCUCCUGAACCAGACACAGGUUCAUUUCCAACACCUCCUCCUGAACCAGACACUGGUUCAUUUCCAACACCUCCUCCUGAACCAGACACUGGUUCAUUACCAACACCUCCUCCUGGACCCAACACAAGUUCACCGGAUAUUGAAGUCAGGGCCUCGACUCAAGAUGUCAAAAAUCUUGUAAAGUUUUUCGAGGAAAAACUUCGCCCUGGAUCCAUCAAGGACAAUGCAGAUCUCAAACGUCCGUGGCUUACAGCUAAUUCCCUUGAAUCAGACGCAGAUUCAUUUCCAACACCUCCUCCUGGACCAGACACAGAUUCAUUUCCAACACCUCCUCCUGAACCAGACACAUGGUUAUUUCCAACACCUCCUCCUGAAUCAGACACUGGUUCAUUUCCAACACCUCCUCCUGAACCAGACACUGGUUCAUUUCCACCACCUCCUCCUGAACCAGUCACUGGUUCAUUUCCAACACCUCCUCCUGAACCAGACACUGGUUCAUUUCCAACACCUCCUCCUGGACCCAACACAAGUUCACCGGAUAUUGAAGUCAGGGCCUCGACUCAAGAUUUCAAAAAUCUUGUAAAGUUUUUCGGGGAAAAACUUCGCCCUUUCAUCCACCAAGGACAAUGCAGAUCUCAAACGUCCGUGGCUUACAGCUAA